UACGUAGGGCGCAAGCGUUAUCCGGAAUUAUUGGGCGUAAAGAGCUCGUAGGCGGUUUGUCGCGAUCUGCCGUGAAAGUCCGGGGCUCAACUCCGGAUCUGCGGUGGGUACGGGCAGACUAGAGUGAUGUAGGGGAGACUGGAAUUCCUGGUGUAGCGGUGAAAUGCGCAGAUAUCAGGAGGAACACCGAUGGCGAAGGCAG
rnacentral:rRNA from 1 species